UAUUUCGAGGCGGAGCGCCGCGACGUGCAUUCGAUUUCGCAAUCAGCACGAAGAGUCUCUUUUAACGGACUAGAACGCUCGCGAAUCGGUGGUCAGCGUGUACCGAGCAAACGCGUAUGAUUGAGUAUUGCAGUGCGGACAUUCGUCUCCGCGUUUUCGAGCACUUAUUCAAAAUUUUCUAGUUUCACGCGGUAAAUUUAAACGAAGACCAAUAAGAUAAAAUCGUUGACUGAGGAUUUGUACAUAAUAAUCGCUGCUGAUAAUAUAGCGACACUUCAUUCAAUAGAGGGUGCUGGGAUUAUUAUUCAAUAUAAUUUUCACUCACGAAUUAUCAAGAUGACAGAUACGGAUCGCUGGUACUUUCACUGGAUAGAUUGGAUCGUCUUUGUCAGUAUGCUCUGCCUCUCCGCGGCAGCGGGGCUCUGGCAUUAUUUUAGAGGGAAGCAGUACAAUACAGAGGAAUAUCUGUUAGGAGGGCACAGUAUGAAUCUUCUUCCUGUGUCGUCUUCGCUAAUUGCUAGUUUUAUUUCAGGUAUAACGAUACUUGGAACACCGACAGAGAUCUAUAACUAUGGUACACAAUAUUGGAUCACCAUAUUCAGCAUUCUAUUCGCUGGUAUUGUCGUCGCAGUGAUCUAUCUUCCCGUUUUUUACGUCGUCAGACUUAACUCCGCGUACGAGUAUCUCGAGAUCAGAUUCAGCAGAGAAGUCCGUAUAUUGAUAUCAUUGAUCUUCGUUAUCGACGCGGUUUUAUACCAAUCUAUCGUCCUCUACGUUCCUUCUCUAGCUCUGAACCAAGUCAGUGGUAUUAACGUUCAUCUAAUAGGAACCGUUGUCUGUUUGGUAUGCGUUUUCUACACUGUUCUGGGUGGUCUGAGGGCCGUAGUCUGGACGGACACCAUCCAGGUCGUGAUAAUGAUAACUGCAGUGACAGUUGUGACAUUUUUGGGAACAUAUCAGGUUGGAGGACCUUCAGAAGUAUGGAAUAACGCCUUACAAGCAAAAAGGAUUCAGUUUCUCAAUCUGGAUCCCUCACCCUAUACGCGACACACCCUAUGGAACGUACUGAUCGGUUCUUGGCUUUACAGCACUGCCUAUAUAGCUGUAAAUCAGACGAUGGUUCAGCGAUAUCGAACUUUGCCAACGAUGAGAAUCGCCAGGAUAGCCGUCGGUAUUUUCACCUGCGGCGUAAUAAUCUUUAUUUCACUGUGCUGUUGGUGCGGAUUGGUUCUUCUCGCUUGGUGGUCACCGCCAAAAUGUGAUCCUAGAGCCUCUGGACUCGUUUCAGCUGACGAUCAAAUGUUACCCGCAUUUGUGAUGGAAAUUGCUGGUCACCUUCAUGGAAUUCCGGGACUUUUUGUCGCCGGAAUAUUCGGCGCGGCACUCAGCACUUUGUCGGUGGGAUUGAAUGCGACGUCUGUAGUUCUUCUCGAAGACUUUGUUAAGGGUUACUUCAGACUUAAUCCGAGCGAAAGAUGUGCAGCUAUAUUUGUAAAAAGCGUUGCAAUUUUCUUGGGAAUGAUUGCGUUAGCAUUUAUAUUCCUCGUUGAACGACUAGGCGGAGUUCUCGCGGUAACCGGAAGUCUCGCAGCCAUUGCCGCAGGUACUUCUCUUGGUGUAUUCACCCUUGGGAUGCUCGUUCCCUGGACAAAUUCGAAGGGAGCGUUUGUUGGGGCUAUCGCCGGAUUCGCGACCGCAGCUUGGGCCAGUUUAGGAGCAAACGCAGCGACCGGUGCCGGUCAAAUUAAAUCAAAAAAAUUGCCAGUUGAUUUAUCAUGUUGUUUCGCAAACGUUUCCGAUCAUUUCGCCACGCUUUUCGAAAGUCACGGGGAGGAGGACGUUUUUCCGCUUUACAGGCUUUCUUACCACCUGAUCGCCGGUCUCGGUACCGUGGUCGUUAUCGUCGUGGGAAUUUUAGUUACUUGCUGCUCGAGCCCAACGGAUCCGGCAUCGAUAGACCGAAAUUUAUUAUCACCUGUAAUUCACAGGCUACUUCCUCCUGAGAGAAUACCCACAGCUUCGAAAGAUACGAGGCGAUCAAACUCACGGAUGAGUGACAGCCGUCCAGAUCACAUUGAUGAUUUUUUACUCGGUGAUAUCAGAGGCGUCGAUAGAUUACCGGUUGUUAUAGCUAAAUCGCAACAGUUGGAUGUGAUAGAUGAAUUCUUACCGAUUUCAAGAAAUAAUACUUGACGGCAACUACAGCCUACACGAGAAAUGACGCUAUGGAGGGAGUCAUAGAUGAGGGCCCAGACAUCAAAGUUAUAAUAUCAUUAAUAUCGUCAUAUUGGAGUAAAAUGACAUGAAGAAUCGAUUUAUCUGUACAUCGGAUUGCUCUCUAUGCGACAAAUUCUCCGGUAGAAAAUUUCAGUUUUGUAUUUUUCAAUUCUAAUUGCAGAUAAUUAAGAUUGGUGCGCUCACGAGUUAUUUAAAUGUACAGUAUUUCGGCGGACAAUAAAUGGUUA
rnacentral:misc_RNA from 1 species